rnacentral:lncRNA from 1 species
CAGUCACCAACCAAGGACCAGGAAGAAGUGUCCUGAACGCUGUUGCCUCUCUCCUUGUGAUGGGCUUGAUGUCACAAUGAGUCAGAAAGACAGGCAUUUGGGGAAAAAAAAAGUCUAAACACAAAGUGAAGAGAAGCAUGAAUAAACUUGAUCCACAGGACACUGUACCCCAUGAGGACAAUCUGGAAUCCAGCUCUGUCGGUGCAUCUAACUCUGACAUUGUGACUGAACAGAAGGCUUUGUCCUUGGGCACAGCUGCCCACUUGCCGGGCCUGGCCUCAGAGAAGGUAAAGGGUGGGAUCCAGAGAGGCUGAAGUGAGGUUGCUGCCAUCCUUCAACCAGAAAAAGAGAAUCGUGAAAUGAGAAGAACAGGAGUCUCUGCAAAAAUAAGAGAUGAGGAUUUUCCAGACCUGACAAAAGAGCAGAAUCUCUACAAUCAUAGAUAGAGAAAGAGGAGGUUAUAGCAACCAGGAUUAUAUAAGAAAGGGCGAAAAAAUCAUGGGGAAACAGACCCUGGGGCUAUGAUAACCGAGCACUAGGGACCCAUCCACCUACACAUUGGACGCCACUGAGGCCUGAAAACUCCCAGCGUCUGUGAGCUGGGGGCGGCAGUAGAGUCCAGUGGUGGGCAGAAGGUCGCUGCCCCAUCUGAUGAUUCUUUCCUGCGCCCUGCAUUCCAUGAAGGUUCAGCAGAGGAUGGCCCACGGGGGUGGGGGUUUCUUGGUGGAUUUGUGGCAUCCAAAGGUCGUGGCAGAGGAAGGAACGGUAGGCUCUGGAUUUCCUCUCUGCUCCAGGACAAUGACAGCAUUCCCGCUGCUGGAGUGGCAGGAGUGGACUAGGGUCAGCCUGGGCAGACUGCUGGACCGCUGGCCCCACCCGUGUGAUGAUUCCAUGCUCAGUAACCUGCCUCAACAGAAAGCUCUUAUUGGAGGUUUCCCCCACCCCACAUGGGGAAGAUGUCCCCGAGCUAACAUCUGUUGCCAAUUUUCCUCUUUUUUUUUUUUCUCCCCAAAGCCCCCGUACACAGUUGUACAUCCUAGUUGUAGGUCAUUCUAGUUCUUCUAUGUGGGACGCUACCACAGCAUGGCUUGAUGAGUGGUGCUAGGUCCCCAUCCAGGAUCCGAACCAGUGAACCCCCAGCUGCUGAAUCCUAGUGGAAAGAAGCACUCAGCCCCUGAGCAGCCUUAUUGGGGGUUUUUACAUUGAGCUCUUUUCUUUGGUUAUUGUAAAUGGAAAAUUUUCAGCUUGUAUUUCCUUAGGGUUUUUUUCCUUCCAGCCUUCUGCCU